rnacentral:tRNA from 2 species
AAAAUCCGUCGACUUUAAAAAUUGUGAGGGUUCAAGUCCCUCUAUCCCCA